UGCCGCGCCCUUCUGGGCGUUUCCUCCCUAGACUUGGACCGCAUUCGUGUGAAUGCGGUCUUCUUUUUUGCGCGU
rnacentral:sRNA from 1 species